AUACAUUUUCAGCCUUUUGGGUAAAAUAAGUAUAAUGUUUGUUAUUAUUAGUUUAAUAUCUAAUAUAUAGACUAUAUAUUAUUAAAUUUAUUUUUUAUAAACGUAAACCAUCACAACGCACACACAUCAUACUAUGGGCCCCUUUGGCAGGGCUCUGACUUCUCUAAAAACGGCUUUGGCUCUGGCUCAC
rfam:Zea mays cultivar B73 chromosome 9, whole genome shotgun sequence.